CCGCGGUGCUACCACGUAUAUAUUAUCCCAGACUGCCGGGGCCAGUCGGGCCCAGACUCCGCAGGAACACCGCGGUCAGUCGGCGAUGACGGCGCGACGAUUUGGGAAUGAAGAAAGCUUUCCAAAUUCCGGCCGCUGCAUCGACGGUGUCGAAGUGUGGUAAGUCGCAACUUCCGUCGCUCUGAGUAUUUCGAGUCAAGGCGGGGAUCGAUUUGGCAAGAUGAUCCAGUUCCAGUCCAUGACCGCAGUUUUAUAACUCUCGUCUUCAGAAAAUAUUAUACGAGGGAGAUCGCUUCGUUUCAUUCGCAAACAAUGGGACAGUUGCACGAGGAAUUUCCCAGUCGCGUUGAUUGCACACCAAGAGCCCAACAGAAUUCGUAAGCCUGAGGGACAAAGUAAAAACUUGGCGUGAAUUGUUCUGGUUAACCAGUAAAGUUCAAUUAUUCAACGCAUAUCACGAAGACACUUGAUCGAAGUGCAUCAUUUUCUUGCGAUAGUCACGAUAAUUUUGUAUAUUGAUUUAUAUCCGAUAGUGUUGAUAAUAUUGUUUCAUGUGUUAUAUUUCGGUUUACACUCAAAUGAUCGAAUUGACGAUGUCUCUGGAUUAUAAUGACGACACAAUUUUACUCCGUGUAUAUUUUUAUUGCAGUGCCUUCCAACCUGGAACUUGGGUACAGACGUGUACUACCAACGUAACAACUAGAUGUUACUAACGUCACACACAUAUAAAGGAUCUGAUAUCAGUUUGUACCGGAGUUGAUUUAAAUCGCGUUUUUCAGUAAAUAACAUUUUCCACUAAAUUUUAUUCAAACGUCCAUUAUUUGUGUCGUCCAAACAAGUCCAAAGUUUUUUUGCCACAUGAGCAACUUCAGACUGAUCAAUUGUUACGAAAGGUCAAGUUUACUUUCAAAUCAUAAUUUAUUGUUCUUCUAUUGUUGUACUAUAAAUUAUUGGUCCAAAACUUCUUAUACAAGACGA